AGCACAAAAAAAUACCUUCUUCCCCUCACAUUCGUUCUUCGCUUCUUUCUGUCUCCCCGACACUUAUCUCUUUUCCUCUUCACCUUCGUUUUCUUCCACCUCACUCAUCACCUUCGUCUCCUCGCCGUCGGAGAUCAUCGUCGAACCUCUUUGUUGGCAGCUGCUUAAUUGUUCUUUGUUGUUGUGGUGUUGAUUGUUGCAGUAUAGCUUCUUUAUCCUCAUCUCUUCUCUUCGCACUCUCUCUCGCCUUCAGUCCGCACCGCUGCUGCCAAUGGUGGUCGUGAAACCUUCAUCAACUGUAAUCCAUUAUCAAUUGGUAAACUCUUUACCAUUCCACAAAUCAAUGAUAUAGUAAAUUAAAUUUCCCAAUUGACCAAACCCUAACUUUCUCUACUUAGAUUCUUUAUCUCCUAUUGUUCGGUGCACCACUUCCUCCGUCGUCGGAGCCGUGUUGUGGUGGUGGUGAUGCCCACCUUGUGGGUUAUGUGUUGACUGGUCGUUGUGGCUCUACUCUACCCAUGUUGUCCCCUGCAUAGUCUCUUCUGGAGCUCCAUGGGUUUCCGUAGUUGCGGUUUCUUUUGGUGUUGGUUGGGUCCUCUUUUUUCCUCCAUUUCAUUUAAUGGUGAAUUAUGUCCCAACAGCAAGUCAUCAAAUUCGACUAUAUGGCUGAUGAGCAGGAUGUGGCAGAAUUCAUUGAUGUUAUUGUGAGUUCUUUUUGGGAAAUGGGAUAUUGAAUAUUUACUUAUUUUGGUGUGAUUAGGAACGUAAGUCAAAAGAGAAAAGGUGUACCAUUCAAGACUGGUCAACGGUAUUCAAUAAUCGGAGGGAGCGGCCUUUCACCUUUGAGGAGAUAGAUGAAGUUCGAGAAAUGUUGGCAAACUUCAUUACGAGUGAUUGUCUUUGAUAUUUUCUUGUACUGAAUCUUAA